AUACGGAGGAUCCGAGCGUUAUCCGGAUUUAUUGGGUUUAAAGGGUGCGCAGGCGGCCAUUUAAGUCAGCGGUUAAAUCGUGGGGCUCAACCCCAUUCUGCCGUUGAUACUGGGUGGCUUGAUUGCGGUAGAGGUUGGCGGAAUUCGUUGUGUAGCGGUGAAAUGCAUAGAUAUGACGAAGAACACCGAUUGCGUAGGCAGCUGACCAGACCGCAAAUGACGCUCAUGCACGAAAGUGCGGGGAUCGAACAGGAUUAGAUACCCUGGUAGUCCGCACAGUAAACGAUGAAUACUUGUUUUCGGCGAUAUAAUGUCGGAGGCAAAGCGAAAGCGAUAAGUAUUCCACCUGGGGAGUACGCCGGCAACGGUGAAACUCAAAUGAAUUGACGGGG
rnacentral:rRNA from 1 species